CCUACGGGUGGCAGCAGUGGGGAAUAUUGGACAAUGGGGGGAACCCUGAUCCAGCCAUGCCGCGUGUGUGAAGAAGGCCCUCGGGUUGUAAAGCACUUUCAGUGAGGAAGAACGCCUGGUGGUUAAUACCCAUCAGGAAAGACAUCACUCACAGAAGAAGCACCGGCUAACUCCGUGCCAGCAGCCGCGGUAAUACGGAGGGUGCGAGCGUUAAUCGGAAUUACUCGGCGUAAAGCGCGCGUAGGUGGCUUGAUAAGCCGGUUGUGAAAGCCCCGGGCUCAACCUGGGAACGGCAUCCGGAACUGUCAAGCUAGAGUGCAGGAGAGGAAGGUAGAAUUCCCGGUGUAGCGGUGAAAUGCGUAGAGAUCGGGAGGAAUACCAGUGGCGAAGGCGGCCUUCUGGACUGACACUGACACUGAGGUGCGAAAGCGUGGGUAGCAAACAGGAUUAGAUACCCCUGUAGUC
rnacentral:rRNA from 1 species